GUGGGGAAUAUUGGACAAUGGGCGAAAGCCUGAUCCAGCCAUGCCGCGUGUGUGAAGAAGGUCUUCGGAUUGUAAAGCACUUUAAGUUGGGAGGAAGGGCAGUAAGUUAAUACCUUGCUGUUUUGACGUUACUCGCAGAAUAAGCACCGGCUAACUCUGUGCCAGCAGCCGCGGUAAUACAGUGGGUGCAAGCGUUAAUCGGAAUUACUGGGCGUAAAGCGCGCGUAGGUGGUUCAGCAAGUUGAAGGUGAAAUCCCCGGGCUCAACCUGGGAACUGCCUCCAAAACUACUGAGCUAGAGUACGGUAGAGGGUAGUGGAAUUUCCUGUGUAGCGGUGAAAUGCGUAGAUAUAGGAAGGAACACCAGUGGCGAAGGCGACUACCUGGACUGAUACUGACACUGAGGUGCGAAAGCGUGGGGAGCAAACAGGAUUAGAUACCCCUGUAGUCC
rnacentral:rRNA from 1 species